rnacentral:rRNA from 1 species
UAGAGUUUGAUCMUGGCUCAGGAUGAACGCUGGCGGCGUGCCUAAUACAUGCAAGUCGAACGAGUUCUCGUUGAUGAUCGGUGCUUGCACCGAGAUUCAACAUGGAACGAGUGGCGGACGGGUGAGUAACACGUGGGUAACCUGCCCUUAAGUGGGGGAUAACAUUUGGAAACAGAUGCUAAUACCGCAUAGAUCCAAGAACCGCAUGGUUCUUGGCUGAAAGAUGGCGUAAGCUAUCGCUUUUGGAUGGACCCGCGGCGUAUUAGCUAGUUGGUGAGGUAAUGGCUCACCAAGGCGAUGAUACGUAGCCGAACUGAGAGGUUGAUCGGCCACAUUGGGACUGAGACACGGCCCAAACUCCUACGGGAGGCAGCAGUAGGGAAUCUUCCACAAUGGACGCAAGUCUGAUGGAGCAACGCCGCGUGAGUGAAGAAGGCUUUCGGGUCGUAAAACUCUGUUGUUGGAGAAGAAUGGUCGGCAGAGUAACUGUUGUCGGCGUGACGGUAUCCAACCAGAAAGCCACGGCUAACUACGUGCCAGCAGCCGCGGUAAUACGUAGGUGGCAAGCGUUAUCCGGAUUUAUUGGGCGUAAAGCGAGCGCAGGCGGUUUUUUAAGUCUGAUGUGAAAGCCCUCGGCUUAACCGAGGAAGCGCAUCGGAAACUGGGAAACUUGAGUGCAGAAGAGGACAGUGGAACUCCAUGUGUAGCGGUGAAAUGCGUAGAUAUAUGGAAGAACACCAGUGGCGAAGGCGGCUGUCGGUCUGUAACKACGCKRGGCCCCAAUGGCU